CAUGACCCAGGCGUCGGCCCAGAGCGACACCCCCCUCAGACACCUGCUCCCUCAGAAGGCUCGGCCUCGGCCUCUACCUACAUAUAGAGUUGGCUUUAAUCCUUUAAUCUCAAGGCCCUGCCAAGCUCCCCGAGGCUCCUGGACUCCCAUGACCCCAGAAUGGAUAUAAGGAGCAGCAAGCCACACCCACGUCUACCCUGAGUUAGAAUGGGUCUCUUGGGCCUCUGACCUCCUGAGCCCGGGGCCUGGACCACCAGUUCCCUGCCCUAGUUGAUUCCCCCAGACCAGACAUCUAUGCCUUUCUAGAACCAUCCCUCUGACCCAGUCUUUGCAGAUCCGCAGCUUGUCUGGAAGCAGCACCCUUGCCAUCCAGACUUCAGCAUCCUAGCCCUUGGCUGUGCCUCCCAGUUGGGCCCAUACGGAUUUCACUCAACUCAGCAAAGGAUUAUGGACGCAUGCGGCAUGCAAGGCUCUGAGAUUCUGGUGCCAGGCACGGGCCAGUGGACAAGAGGGGCAGUCACGCAGCCUGUCCAGGAUCAGUGGGGACGCCUCCUCACUAGGUCUCCUGGCAUCAGGAGCGGAUGUUUUCCAGCAACUCCAGCCACUCUGCAAAGCCUGACCCGACGCGUGUCCCCAGCCCCCUCAGAGGUUCACAGGAAGAUGGAGAUGAAAGAACGUUCAGGAGCAGGAAGCACCCAAACUUCAACCUGCGGGAGUCAUUCAUACGAGAGGCUAUCAGGCGGCCAUCACACCUCCCCUCACCACGGAACCCUCGUGUCUCACCACUGACCUCUUCCCCGUCUCUACUACUAUCUUUUCAGAUGUCCUGGAGUUGGAGUCAUACAGCAUGUAACCUGUUCAUCUUGGCUCCUUUGACUGAGCAAUAUGGGUUUAAUGUUCCUCCACGUCUUUUUGUGGCUUCAUAGUUCACUUCUUUCUAUCACGGAAUACUAUUCCAUUGUCUGGAUGUACCACAGUUUGUUUAUUCAUUCACCUACUGAAGGACCUUUCUUCCUUCAAUUUUUACUUCCAAGUUUGGGCAAUUAUGAAUAAAUCUGCUAUAAACACCCA
rnacentral:lncRNA from 1 species